UACAGAGGGUGCGAGCGUUGUCCGGAAUCACUGGGCGUAAAGGGCGCGUAGGCGGCUCGGUAAGCGUGCGGUGAAAGCCCGGGGCUCAACCCCGGGUCGGCCGUGCGAACUGCGGAGCUGGAGCACUGUAGAGGCAGGUGGAAUUCCGGGUGUAGCGGUGGAAUGCGUAGAUAUCGGGAGGAACACCUGUGGCGAAAGCGGCUCACUGGACCACAACUGACGCUGAGGCGCGAAAGCUAGGGGAGCAAACAGG
rnacentral:rRNA from 1 species